CGCCUGUUUAUCAAAAACAUGUCCUUCUGAUUAUGAUUUUAGGUCUGGCCUGCUCAAUGAUUUUUAUUUAAUAGCUGCGGUAUUUUAACUGUACUAAGGUAGCAUAAUAAUUUGUCUUUUAAUUGGGGGCUUGUAUGAAUGGUCGGACAAGGCUCUUACUUUCUUUAUUUUAUUUGUAUGAAUUUUAUUUUUUAGUUAAAAAGCUAAAAUGUUUUUGGGGGACGAGAAGACCCUAUAGAUUUUUAUAUUUACUGAUAUUAGGGGUUAUUUAGCUUAAAUAAUUAUUCUUAUUGUCAUAAAUGUUUGAUUGGGGCGAUUUUGAAAUUUUCUUAACUUUUAAGUUGGCUGUCAUUUCUUUAUGUUUGUUGUGAUCCAUUUUUAAUGAUUAAAAGAUUAAAUUACCUUAGGGAUAACAGCGUUAUUCCCCCGGAUAGUUCUUAUUGAUGGGGGAGUUUACGACCUCGAUGUUGGAUUAGAAUAAGGCCUUAUGAUGCAGAAGUCAGGUCCUAGGUCUGUUCGACCUUUUAAUUUUUACAUGAUCUGAGUUCAAACCGGAG
rnacentral:rRNA from 1 species